rnacentral:rRNA from 1 species
CAGUUUCCUUGGGGCGCAGCCUGAUGCAGCGACGCCGCGUGAGGGAUGACGGCCUUCGGGUUGUAAACCUCUUUCAGUACAGAACAAGGCCUUCGGGUUGAGGGUAUGUGCAGAAGAAGCGCCGGCUAACUACGUGCCAGCAGCCGCGGUAAU